CCUGUUUAUCAAAAACAUGUCUGUUUGUAAGUGUUAUCUGCAGUCUGGCCUGCCCACUGAAUUUUGAAGGGCCGCGGUAUUAUGACCGUGCGAAGGUAGCAUAAUCAUUAGUCUUUUAAUUGAAGGCUGGGAUGAAGGGUUGGACGAAGAAUAUUCUGUCUUUCUUUUUGUUUGAAUUUAACUUUUAAGUGAAAAGGCUUAAAUUGCUUAGUGGGACGAUAAGACCCUAUAAAACUUUAUAUAAGUUUAUUGUAGUGUAGGAAUUAAGUGUAAGUUAACUUUAAUUGAAUUAUAUUUCGUUGGGGAGAUGUUUAUAUAAUUGUAACUGUUGGUUAAAUUUAAUAAUUGUAGUUAGUUUAWGAUCCUUUAUUAGAGAUUAAAAGAUUAAGUUACUUUAGGGAUAACAGCGUAAUUUUCUUUAAGAGUUCUUMUUGACAAGUAUUAGUUGCGWCCUCGAUGCGAAUUAAAAUGUCACGAGGGUGCAGUCGCUUCYUGUAGUCURUCKCCCUUAAAAAUYACCGUUUUUGCC
rnacentral:rRNA from 1 species